GAUGAACGCUAGCGGCAGGCUUAAUACAUGCAAGUCGAGGGGCAGCACAGUGUAGCAAUACAUGGGUGGCGACCGGCAAACGGGUGCGUAACACGUACACAACUUACCCUUUACUGGGGGAUAGCCCAGGGAAACUUGGAUUUAAAGCUCCGGCGCUUAGAGAUUGGUGUGCGUCCGAUUAGCUAGUUGGUGGGGUAACGGCUCACCAAGGCGACGAUCGGUAGGGGGUGUGAGAGCAUGACCCCCCACACGGGUACUGAGACACGGACCCGACUCCUACGGGAGGCAGCAGUAAGGAAUAUUGGACAAUGGAGGGAACUCUGAUCCAGCCAUGCCGCGUGAAGGAUGAAGGCGCUCAGCGUUGUAAACUUCUUUUGGAUGGGAACAAUAACUUCUACGUGUAGGAGCUUGAGGGUACCAUCAGAAUAAGCACCGGCUAACUCCGUG
rnacentral:rRNA from 1 species